GUGUGUCUAUUUGAUAGGCCAGGAGGUUUCCACUACAUAUGCACACACAAAAAAGUGCCCUUGUACUUUCUGUCUGAUUGUGGCAGCCAAGAUUGAGUAAAGGAAUACAGUU
rnacentral:snoRNA from 1 species